rnacentral:lncRNA from 1 species
GCCCUGGGCAUGCUCCCAGUCUCGGGUUCCCAGAGCCCCGAGAGGAGGGGUUUGAUAGCGACAUCCCAUUUAAGGCUGGAUAUCUCAAUGUCUGGCUAUGGGUCUCGGUAUUUGUUCCCAUCUGCAGGAGGAAGCCUCUCUGAUGAGGGCUGAGCAAGACACUGAUCUGCUUCCCUGGCUGAAGUGCACACUGGAUUUCUUUCAUGAAAGCUAAGGGUACCAAAAGAGGUCUGAUAAUGAACUGGCCUGUGUUCAGAACACUCUGAAUUACUCCUCUGGCUCGCAUCCAGUCAUGGUGAAUUUAUUCCCUGAUAAAAUGCGCAGGAUGAGGACUGGAUUGCAGAUGCAGCCACAAAUAAAGGAACACGGAGUUCAGCCUGGAGACAAAUGGCUGCCACAGUUAUGCAAAACGCAAAACAAAUAAGGUGGUGUUAUUUGCUAAACUCAGUGAGCUGGGGCACCCAGCAGGCACCUCAGUCUGCAAACAGAUGAAGAUUUAGCUUUUAAACGUUAGAGCACUGAAGUAGAGAGAAAAGCCACAACCUUUAAAGGGUGAGCAGCCCUUUGAAAACCCAUUCCUUCAAACCAUGAACAAAACAGC